AAAGAUGGAUAGAUUAAUUAGUUAGAAAGAAAGAUAGAUAGAUUAGUUAGAAAGAAAGAACGAUAGAUUAGUUAGAAAGAAAGAUAGAUAGAUUAGUUAGAAAGAAAGAACGAUAGAUUAGUUAGAAAGAAAGAUGGAUAGAUUAGUUAGAAAGAAAGAUAGAUUAAAAGAUUAGUUAGAAAGAAAGAUAGAUAGAUUAG